GUCACAAUUCUCGUACCAAGGAAUUUUCUACAACCAGUCCAUCCACAACUGGACAACAAAUCAUUGAUCUGCAUUAUCGAAUAAUGGGCUCACUUCACAAUUUCUCACAUGAUGCAUGUACUUGGUUGACCAAGAGGAUGUCAUUGCAACUGGAGGGGGCUGACCUGAUUCUGUUCUUUGUUAUUGGACACAUCUGGACAGAUACUUGUGUUUACUAACUGAUAUUGGAGGGUCUUGUGAGGUUGCCAGAAAAUAGGGUGUGUGCUGAUUGUAGAAACAAGUAUGUAAAUCAGUCGACAUUCCUGUUUGGAUGGUUAAAGCAAAUUUCAAUAUUAGUUGUUAUUUCAUGUUUUGUAACAUUUUUAAUUUUCUGAUUCCAAAAGAUGUGCAUAUAUUAGUUUUCUUGUUAAAAUCUAGAGCAUGCCUUCUUACUAGAUGCCAAUUUUGACUUGCAACGUAUCUCUUGGUUGUGAUGGACAUCCAUUAUUUGUUUUGUAGCGGCAGGAGAUUUUUUUGGCUUCUGGAUGUUUGCAUCCUUGUGUGUUUCAACACCUGUUUUUCAACAUGAGCUGGAUAGAGAGGAGAGGCCUAGCCAAUUAGAGCUAACCG